rnacentral:misc_RNA from 1 species
AAGUCGUAACAAGGUCUCCGUUGGUGAACCAGCGGAGGGAUCAUUACUGAGUUAUUAAAACUCCAAACCCUUUGUGAACCUUACUGUCGUUGCCUCGGCGUGAGCUACGGCUACCCUGUAGUUACCCUAUAGCUACCCUGCAGCUACCCUAUAGUUGACCAGUAGCUACCCUGUAGUUACCCUAUAGCUACCCUGCAGCUACCCUAUAGUUGACCAGUAGCUACCCUGUAGCCGGCUUAUGGCCCGCCGAAGGACCGCUAAACUCUUGUUUUUUACCACUGUUUCUCUGAAUUGUAAACUUAAAUAAGUUAAAACUUUCAACAACGGAUCUCUUGGUUCUG